rnacentral:rRNA from 1 species
UCAAAAACAUGGCUCCUUGAAUUUUAAUAAUAAGGAGUCGAGACCUGCCCAGUGAAUUUUUAACGGCCGCGGUACUCUGACCGUGCAAAGGUAGCAUAAUCAUUUGCCUUAUAAUUGAAGGCUAGUAUGAAUGGUUUGACAAGAAUGAAGCUGUCUCUUUAUAAUUUAAUAGAAUUUUAUCUUUAGGUGAAGAAGCCUAAAUAAAAUUAAAAGACAAGAAGACCCUAUCGAGCUUGAAAAAAAAUAAUAGAAUUAACUAAUUAAUAUUUAUAGAAAAUUAUCUAUUAUAUAUUUUAGUUGGGGCGACUGAGGAACAUAAAAAGCUUCCUUUAUAAAAUUAACUAAAAUCAGACUAGAAUUGAUCCAAAAUAAUUUUGAUUAAAGAAAUUAGUUACCGUAGGGAUAACAGCAUUAUCUUUUUUAAGAGCUCAUAUCGAAAAAAAGGUUUGUGACCUCGAUGUUGGACCAGAAUAUCCUAAAGGUGCAGCAGUCUUUAAGGGUUGGUCUGUUCGACCAUUAAAAUUCUACGUGAUCUGAGU